rnacentral:rRNA from 1 species
CCUACGGGGUGCAGCAGUGAGGAAUAUUGGUCAAUGGGCGUAAGCCUGAACCAGCCAAGUCGCGUGAGGGAUGAAGGAUCUAUGGAUCGUAAACCUCAUUUAUAAGGGAAUAAUGUGUGGGUCGUGUCCUACUUUGUAUGUACCUUAUGAAUAAGGAUCGGUUAACUCCGUGCCAGCAGCCGCGGUAAUACGGAGGACCCGCGUGUUAUCCGGAUUUAUUGGGUUUAAAGGGUGCGUAGGCGGCCUUGUAAGUCAGCGGUGAAAGUCUGUGGCUCAACCAUAGAAUUGCCGUUGAAACUGUGGGGCUUGAGUAUGUGUGAGGCAGGCGGAAUGCGUGGUGUAGCGGUGAAAUGCUUAGAUAUCACGCAGAACCCCGAUUGCGAAGGCAGCCUGCCAAGCCAUGACUGACGCUGAUGCACGAAAGCGUGGGGAUCAAACAGGAUUAGAUACCCCUGUAGUC